GCGAAAGUAGCUCAGUUGGUAGAGCACAACCUUGCCAAGGUUGGGGUCGCGGGUUCGAAUCCCGUCUUUCGCUCAA
rnacentral:tRNA from 1 species